AUUGAACGCUGGCGGCAGGCCUAACACAUGCAAGUCGAACGGUAACAGGAAGCAGCUUGCUGCUUCGCUGACGAGUGGCGGACGGGUGAGUAAUGUCUGGGAAACUGCCUGAUGGAGAGGGAUAACUACUGGAAACGGUAGCUAAUACCGCAUAACGUCGCAAGACCAAAGAGGGGGACCUUCGGGCCUCUUGCCAUCGGAUGUGCCCAGAUGGGAUUAGCUAGUAGGUGGGGUAACGGCUCACCUAGGCGACGAUCCCUAGCUGGUCUGAGAGGAUGACCAGCCACACUGGAACUGAGACACGGUCCAGACUCCUACGGGAGGCAGCAGUGGGGAAUAUUGCACAAUGGGCGCAAGCCUGAUGCAGCCAUGCCGCGUGUAUGAAGAAGGCCUUCGGGUUGUAAAGUACUUUCAGCGGGGAGGAAGGGAGUAAAGUUAAUACCUUUACUCAUUGACGUUACCCGCAGAAGAAGCACCGGCUAACUCCGUGCCAGCAGCCGCGGUAA
rnacentral:rRNA from 1 species